rnacentral:rRNA from 1 species
UACAGAGGGGGCCAGCGUUAUUCGGAAUUAUUGGGCGUAAAGGGCGCGUAGGCGGCUUUGCGUGUCUUUCGUGAAAUCCCUCGGCUCAACUGAGGACGUGCGGAAGAAACUGCAGGGCUGGAGUCCGGGAGAGGAGGGUGGAAUUCCCAGUGUAGCGGUGAAAUGCGCAGAUAUCAGGAAGAACACCCGUGGCGAAGGCGGCUCUCUGGGACGGUACUGACGCUGAGACGCGAAAGCGUGGGGAGCAAACAGG